rnacentral:rRNA from 1 species
AUAGCGUAUAUUAAAGUUGUUGCAGUUAAAAAGCUCGUAGUUGAACCUUGGGCCUGGCUGGCCGGUCCGCCUCACCGCGUGUACUGGUCCGGCCGGGCCUUUCCUUCUGGGGAGCCGCAUGCCCUUCACUGGGCGUGUCGGGGAACCAGGACUUUUACUUUGAAAAAAUUAGAGUGUUCAAAGCAGGCCUUUGCUCGAAUACAUUAGCAUGGAAUAAUAGAAUAGGACGUGCGGUCCUAUUUUGUUGGUUUCUAGGAUCGCCGUAAUGAUUAAUAGGGAUAGUUGGGGGCAUUCGUAUUCAAUUGCUAGAGGUGAAAUUCUUGGAUUUAUUGAAGACGAACUACUG